rnacentral:rRNA from 1 species
CCCUUAGAUGUCCGGGGCCGCACGCGCGCUACACUGAAGGAAUCAGCGAGGCUUUCUCCCUGACCCGAAAGGGUUGGGAAACCCGUUGAAUCUCCUUCGUGAUAGGGAUUGGGGCUUGAAAUUGUUCCCCAUGAACGAGGAAUUCCCAGUAAGCGCGAGUCAUAAGCUCGCGUUGAUUACGUCCCUGCCCUUUGUACACACCGCCCGUCGCUACUACCGAUUGAACGGUUUAGUGAGGGCCUCGGAUUGGUCUCGGCCCGCUCUUUACCGGGCGGCGCCGUUGGUCGAGAAGACGCUCGAACUUGAUCGUUUAGAGGAAGUAAAAGUCGUAACA